rnacentral:lncRNA from 1 species
AAAUUGGCAACGGGUGUGUUUUUAUGUUUUAUCCUUAAAGAAAAUCGGCAUCCAAAAUUUUGACUCAAGGAAAACAUACAUUACCAUCACAUAUAUAAAAAAAGUAACAUAACAAUUCCGUGAAGGAAAAUCUGCACAACAUGUUUCUCAUCAAAAUCAAUUAGUAAACCCAUUAUGAGGUCCAAAUUGCAUUUGUGACAUUCAUCUUAUAUCUCAUGAAAUGUAAACUCUGGUCAUAAGAAGCAUUUGGUGCACACCAUAUAGGAUCCACUGAGGUUUGUGGAAUGUCCACGACGAAUAUAACGUACUCGCGAAAAUCUUUCAAGCAGCACGUAUUAGAAUAUAUUCUUUGCAUGUCAGCCUCACAAAUCCAAAACAGAUACAGAAAAAGGCUAAAAAGGUUGUACAAGUAACCUGUGGUAUUUUCUUUGAAAAUACAUUAUGAUUACAGUGUUCCUUCUGUCCAGUCCAACUGAUUCAUAAAUCUAGUUAAAUCAGUUGAAUAUAACUAUACCGUGCUAUCAUUAAUAAUAGAAAAAAAGUAAAAUCACAAAAAUACUGCACUCCGAGGAAAAUUCAAAACGGAGCGUCCCUAAUCAAAUGACAAAAUAAAAUGAUAAAACACAUUAAACGAAUGGACAACUGUCAUAUUCCUGACUGGGUACAGACAUUACAAGACAGUAUAUUUUUUUUCUGAUCUACACAUUUUAAUAAAAUGGUUUAACAACAAAACGCAGGUAAUAACUAUAUGCUGCCAAGCAUACAGGAUAUCGUUUCAGUGAAAAUUUCGUGCGAUACUUUAGAUUCAACCAAAUAAAUUUCAAUACCGUUUCUGCUAAUAAGAAACAUGUGUCCUCCGCAGCUCAAAUUCUAUCUAGAAUUUAGUUCUCUAUAAGUAGACGAUAACAGUAUUGGUAUAAGGGGAAAGGGAUAGAUGGGGUGAGGUGGGGUGGUUAAAGUUAUUAAGCUUGGAAAUUAAGCUUGGGAAUUGAUUAAGUCUGACAAUGAUUUAACCAUGUACACAUUUUCCAAGAAGGAAUCCAAGAAAGUUAUAAAAUAUGCAUAUUAUUUAAUUAAAACACAUUGUGAUAUACAAACUACAAUGCAUUUUUAUAUAUUAACUUUCGGAGUUUUUUUCAGUACAAGUAUCGGUUGUGACUCAAAAAGAAAGAAAUCUGAGCGAAAGGCACUAGUAGAACAUCUUGAAAGACUGUUAGAAGAUGCCAAACAGGAUCAAGAAAGACCAGACAGUUUCAUACAGGCGAUUAUUGAAAAGUAAACAUAAAUUAUCUUUUUUCAACGGAGAAUCAAAAAUCCAUCAUUGAAGAUUGUUAUAGAAUCUUAGUAUGAAAGACUUAAAUCUAAAACUAGAAAGGACUUAAAUCAUAUACUUCAAUCUUGUAUUGGUUUGUUUGUAUGUGUAACUUCCUUUCUGUGGAUUUGUUUAACAUAAUAUAUGAUGGUUGAUUUAAAAAUAAUAAGCUAGGUUAAUUACUGUGUUUUCCCUUUCUGAAAGAUUCGUUUCCUUCAUCAAUUUGUGUGUUAGACAAAACAUUACAACUUUAUUUGUUUUGUAUGCUAAAAGAACGGUAAAAGAUACCAGAGGGCCAUUCAAACUCAUAAAUAAAAAUACACUGAUAACGCCAUGGCAGAAAAAGACAAACUAUCAAUUUCAGUAAACAAGACACAACAAAGAAAACUAAAGACUAAGCAACACGAACCCCACCAAAAACUGAGGGAGAUUUCAGGUACUCCAAAAGGGUAAGCAGAUUAUGCUCCACAUGUGGCACCUGCCGGGUGCACAUGUCAAUACAAACCUGCUUGAUGUAAUGCUCCUCCAGAUAUUAAUGCAAAUAAUAUAAUGGGCAAAUGAACAUUGUUUUUCAUUUAGUUUAUUUGUUUUCUGAUAGAUUACAAUUGAAGAUAACAAAAACGAAAACAUAUUACAAAUGCACAAUAAAUUUGACUGAUAAGUCAGUAUAUUACGUUUAACUGUUUUUUCCGGCGCGUCUUUUAUAUAUAAGUGUGAGUAAGGGUUAAGAGUUAUUUGCAUGUAUGAUGAUAGUGAGUAGUUCCAGCAAUAAGUAAUGCAUAACAGUAACCAGUUUUUGAACGAUUUGAACGAUCUAAAUGUUUUGCAAAAUACAUUUGAAGAAAUGGGAACAGAAGUAAAAAGCAUGAAUUGAUAUCUGAGGAUAUCAAUCAUAGUAUUGAACAAGCAGCAAGGAAAAGGGAGGAAGAAAUUAAAUUUUGUUUCAGUGAUUCCACUGAAGGAGUUCGUGGAUAUUUGAUAGAUUAUGAAAGCUACAUGUAUUAUUGAUAUUUCACUAAAAAAAUAAAAAAUGUGUCCCCAUCAAAAUACCAAAUUAAAUGUCUAAUUUUGUUAUGAAUGAGAGCACUUUUUAUUUAUGUAUUAUCUUCUGCAAAUCACUCGAUAGAUAUACUCUUGUAGCUAAAACUAUAGUUAUUAUAUUAUAACAGAAUAUUUGUCAAUAGACUUCCAUUGUAUGAAACAUAACAAAACUUUAUCUCGGCUUUCCAAAAAUACUUUUCGAACGUGUUUUAUUUUAGAAACAAAAAUAGUUUCCGGCAUGUAAAGACAAAUACAAGUUUAAAAUCAUUAAUAAAUUUUAAUGCAUUCUAUUUUGUUUAUUUCAGGUUAAGCAGUAAUGUUCCUAACAUCCAGGUUGGGAACACGUUGAUACAAAUAGGAGAUAGAAAUAAAAUGAAUUACGAUACUUCUUCAAUGUGACACUUGAAAACAUAUUCAAGGUGUACUUUAUCACAUUAUCACAAUUAAACUAUCAUAAAGUUCUGGUUAACAUCUAAUCAUCAAGACUCUUCGUUUAUAUUUAUUAUUUAUUUACCUCAAGACGACAAUAUUGGUUAUAGAUUUUAAAAGCGUUAAUGUUGUAAUAACGUUUAAUGAGGUUGAAAUUGUGAGAUUUUCGACAGUGUAUAGUAUUGCCAAAAAGUUUUUGAUUUAUAUUAAUGUUUAAGCGUAUGGUCUCAAAACAAAAUGUUUUUAGAUUGAUUUUUUCACAUUUGUAAAGAAAUACCGAUCUUUAUAAGAACACAUUGAAACUGUUUCUAUCGAUUUAUGAGUAUCGAACAGCAGUAUACUACUGUUGCCUUUAUUUCUUUAAACCAUUGUGGUGACGUCAGCCUAUUCAUUUGCCGUGGAUUCUUUUUCUAGAAUCAACUCUUCCUAAAUCCGUCGCUGAAAAUGAACUCACAAUUG